UCCCCUUUACAGUUUUUAUUUUGUAAAUCUGUGAAGCCUACAUAUAAGGCAAGAAACACCACAGUAAAAACAAACAGCCCCCUUUUUUCCAUUUUCAUUCCCAUAAAAAAUAUAUAAACAGAAAAAAUAAAUAAAUAAAAAACACAAAUGUAUAGGACGUAAUAUAGUGUUUGUUUUGCAAGAUAUAAAUUUCACACAAUGAUUGCUUUAAAAAGGUAAAAAUGAUUUAUAAUACACAGAUAAUGUUGCCGUGCCAGCAUAGAAAAUGCACAUGCAUUCAUGCCUAUUCUACGCCGUAUAAAUAAGAAAACUAAAAUUACAUUGGACAACACAGCACUUUUUUUUCUUUCAUUUUUUUUAAAACAAACAUGUAAAACAUUAGAUCUUUCACAUCAACCUCACAGUGACAGGCUCAUUAUGAAACAGGAAAGAAAAGUAAGAAAAAAAACAAAACUAUUUUCAUUCACACUUCAACAUUCGAUAUUAAGAAUAUUUAUUCAGACUUAUUUUUCUUCAAUGUACAGUUGGAGGUUUUUUAUUUUAUUUUUUUGUACCAUGCUGGUUUGAGUGGAUUUUUUGUUUUAACUUUUCUGUCUAUAUAAUCUCUUAAAGAAAUAUAUAUAUAUUUUUUUACAAUUUUUCAGUUAUUACAUUUAAGACGUAUAUCUUUAAGCAUUAAAAGGAAUGCCGAUUGCAUAUCAGUCUCGCCCAGAUUCUGUGGAGUACAGUAAAAUUCAGGGAAAUAAAUUCUAUGGAUACAAAACAAAUGUACCGGGAUUCUAGGCACACAUUUGUGGUGUGUUUUUUUUUUUUUUUAAAGGAAGAUUAUGGGGUGAUUUAUUUAUGCAUUUUCCAAGAUCUUGCUGUGACUGUACAUUUUCUUAAGAAAUGGUGGUGGCGAUGAUUUUACAAACAUGCAGUUUUUACAUAAAAGCAGACACUUCAUUUUCCAGAGCCUAUGCAUGUAUUUCAUGCACACAGCACACAAUAAUUCUUUAAAAAGAGUACACAUUAUGCACAAUUUUAAACAAAGCAGCUCUCCCAUCUCCAUAAAUCAUAAUACAUUGCAAAGACUUGCAUUAUUUUAUAUCAAAUCACAGUUAUUUUUUGUUUAGGAAUAUUACACAGCAUUGUAAAUACCACUUAUUUUCCAAAUGUAGGCUAAUUCAACAGUCUCAUUUUUAAACCCACCCCCACCCCUUAGCCAACCCAACCCACUGCCCAACCUUUAGCCAAAUAAAAUGCAAAACAUUAAACAGAGCAGCAUAUGUUCAGACAAAACAAAAAGUAUAUAUAUAUAUAAAAAAUAAAAAUAAAUCAUGAACUCAACAUCACUUACAUAAUAGUAAUGGAUAAAAAAAAAAGUUAUGUCUAACAAAGUAUAUAUUAAAAAUAAAAAUAUUACAUUAAUGACAAAUAUGGUCCUAGCAAUGGAUAUAACUGACAUUUUCCUUAAUUUUACACAAUUCCAAAUUGUGACAAAAAUAUAUAUCUUUUUAGUUGACAGACAAAAAUAAUCUUUUUGUAUUCUUAAGUUUUUUUUGUUAUUUUUUUUAUUUUAUGUCAAAUACCAUAAUUGUACAGGCGGUUUUAACUGUGUGUAUGGUAGGAAAUAUAGUUAAUUUAACCAGUUUAAUAUAUUUCCUAAGUUAAUUUACAUACUGCAAACAAAACCCUUUUUCAAAUAGCAUAUUUUAGAAAAUAUAUUCUUAUCUAAUGGCCGAGUAUAGGUAACAAAAUACCUAAAAAAAUUGGUGAAAUUAACUCUUUUUAUAAAAACAAUAAUAAAAAAAAAAAUUACUUGAAAUGUUUACAUUACCUUUUACAACCAAAGGCACUCACUGUGUCUAAAUUCUUCUAUGCAAUAUUAAUACCUUCAUGUCACUGUGUAAGUCCUUAAAACUUACAAUAGCAUGAGUGUUUCUUACAAGUUAGAAAACACGUCUUCAAACUUUUUUUUUUUUUUUUACAGUAAUAAUGCCUCACUCCUAAUAAAUCCUUUCGCUGUGUCUCCUUGGAAACAAGUGAUAAAAUCUCAAAAGUAUUCCAGACAAGAAUGUCAAAAUGUAAAGGGGUAAACAUCUACCCUAUUAUCUCUUAUACACCUUAAUAAGAUGAACCAAGAUAAAAGGAAGCUCUAUUUAAAGUACACAGAUUUAGGCAACUUAAAAAUAGUUUACAGUCUCGUCCUACAACAUAAACGCUCCUGCAAGUAGGGUUGUCAAUUCCUUUAGCAACAAUAGUAUAUGUAUUCACUUUACCUCCUUGAAGUGUACACAUUAACAUUUUAUCAGUGAAAGCAUUGUCAUAAUGUAAACAGUUUUGUGAUGUCACUCAUGAGAUAGCAUCAUGAGAAAUGUGUUCUGGUCACAAUCUAGAGAAAAUGUGUUCCAUUUCUUUUUAACAGGAGAACUUUUUUUCUUCUUUAUUACAAAUGGUUUUGUUUACAGAGAAAGAUAACUGUCAAGUCCAAGUUUUUUUUGAUAUUAUGUUUACUUGUUCCUUUAACAAAUAUGUAUUUGUGAGGUGUGAAAAUUCAACUCAGAUAUAGAAAUCAACACCACUUUAUCCUGAGACACGGCUCCCUGUCACUCAUUGUUAUAAACUUUCUCCUUACCAUCUAGCAGUCAGCAAAGAGAAAACUCAAAGAAGAGGAGAAAUUCUUACUACUGAUUUCACUGGUGAAUGUUAAUGCAGCAUUUGACACACAUGAAUUAAUUUGGACUGCCCAAGCAAUAUAUUGGGUUUUAAGAGGGGAGGAGGAUAUGUACUAUCUUUCUUGUGAUGGAGCACCCUCCUCAAAUUACAGUUACAUACCUUCCAACAUUUGGAGGUAUGGAUUUGAGACGGAUGGGCAGGCCUUCAAAAGGAGCGUUGCAGUGAUGCAACUUGUGUGGGAAGUGACACCCAUAAUGGGAAGGCUAUCUACUUAAGAACUGUGCCAGCCUUCAGACUGGCCCCCAUAAUGCAAGCCGUGCCGAGAGAGCUUAUUUAGAGCCUGUACAAUGAUGCUUUUUCACUGUGCUGCCCAAGGACAGUUCGGAGAGUCCCCAGUUGAGGGACACCAGGGAACUUAAUUAGGACGGUAUGAUUUAACCCCCAAAGUGGGACAGUUGGGAGAUCUGUAGAUAUUCUGCCAUUCACCACCUAUUCUUAAAAAAUAUGUUUAAGCAACAGUAGCCCUGGAGAGAGCAGACAUGUUUAAGGUUCUGAUCAAAGAUUUGAACUAAUCAUGUUUCAAAUUAUAGAUUAUACAUACAUUGCUAAAUGUGAUGAUGCUUCUAAGAGACAAGGAUAACGGUUGUCUGCACACCAGAAGACCAUGUUCUUCUUCCAAUGUAAGGAUGCCAAUAUAAAGCACCAACGUUCCUGAAACCUGGCGUUUAAUUGCUUUAUUAAACGGCAAAAAUCUGUGCUUGGUUUACAUUGCAGUGAGUUUUAUCUUAUAGUCACGUUUUUCCAAACAGUUAUUUGAUUCAACUACUUCAACAGUAGGAGAAUUUAAAAAUGCUCAGAUAAGUGGGCAAAUAAUUGAAUUUCCAGUUUUAAAACAAAUAUAUUUUUUUCAGAAAAAUGUAAAUAGAUGUAAUAAAAGAAAUACAUAUAUUGUCAAUGACUUUUUGAAUAUAAAAAAAUAAAUAAAUCUACCACAUUCCUGCUUUAUCUCACAUGAUCAGUCAUGGUGAGAUCAGUGUAUGAAACUAAUUCCAAAUCCUAUAAUGAGCAUUCGAGAGGGACAUUAUAACUACACAACAUUCUAUUAUAUUUUUAAGCAAAGAAGUCAAACUGGAGCAAGAGAAGAGCUUGAAUAUGUGACCAAUUCAGUUAUACAGGCCCAAAAUGUGCAAUUUCCUCAUAAAUUGCUCACAAUUACCAGUUUAGUGAAUUACUUUAUUGAUUUCAUUGCACACGUUUGCCACACAUGACUUCAAUUGGAAUGUCUUACUAAUUCCACAUAACACUUCGGAAGCGAUUCUCGUUUUAAUAAUGAGAGGCUUUUCUGGAAUUAAUUUUCUUAAAGUGGGCUCUCCUAAGACCAUAACAGUUUGCAUCUGUCUUGGUUAAAGAUGCACCCUCUACCCAGUCUAUAAAUACUGCUUAUAACUGCAAUUAUUUGCAACAGUAAGUACAACUACCAAUCCUUUCAGUGUCCUCACACUUCUUCCUCACAAUACACACUCUCAUUAACCUUUUCUACCACUGCUUUCUGUGAGUGAUUACCAAACUGGACUGGCUCCAUUGAUGAAAAAACACGAAUGCAUCUACUAGAAAUGCUUGCUAAUUUUUCAUGAGCAAAUUUAUCAAUUUAUUUCAUGAAUAUAUUAUACACCAGAUCUGUACAAAAGGGAGAUUCUCCAGAUGUUGUAAAACUACAACCCCCAUAAUGCUUUGCACUCCUUUGGAAUGAAAGGAUCAUGGAAGCUGUAGUUCUUCAACAUCUGGGGAUCUACCUUUUGGGAACCCAUGUUAUACAUUAAAUGUAAAAUGAUAGGGCCGCAAAAUUGUAAGUACAGGAUAUAUCAGAACAUUAAACAUUAUGGAGCUAUGGAAUACUUAAAUAUAUAUUCAUUGAAAGCUGACCUAUGGGGCACUACUGUAAAUUGUAAGACUUAAAACAUUCAUUACUUUUUUUCUAGAAAUUAACUUGAAUGCACAGCAAACGUAUACCAUUCUAACUUAGAUAUGUACUUGAGAUGAAUAUUUAACAAAAAAAUUAUUUCAAGAAAAAUUGAUUUGUGUACAUGAAGCUAUGUAUGAGAACUUGAGUUUAAACCUACAGAACAGUAAGAAAUUACUGUCUUGCUAAAGAACAGCAAUAUGUGACAAAGUUGAUUCACAAAACUGUACUGCAGUAUGUCUAUAUUACACUCAAAAGUAUAACCAGCUUAAAAUAGCAGAUGUUCCCACAAAAAGGGCAUUUUUUUCACAUUGUAACAAACAUAAUGGUUUUGGGCACUGUCCUUAAUCAGUUGGAGCAUGGACAAAUUGGACAUGUUAUGCCUAAUAAAACAGCAAAAAUUGGACAUGUUAUGCCUAAUAAAACAUCAACAUUAUGUUUCUAAACCCGCUGAUCCAUACACCAAAGUAAGUAAACAUUCAAAAGAGAAGUAUUACAUAUACUAGACGUUGUAGGUGUUGAGUAGUGACAUGGCUCUACUUGGACAAUUUCAAAUAAAAUGCUACACAACUUUUCUUCAGGCCAAAUUACGUGAUAAACAAAUGUACAUUUCGAUUUUUUUUAUCAAAUAGUACUGAAAAUAAUUAUGUUUAAUAACUGUCCCUUUUAGCAUACAAACGCUAGUGACUGAUUAAGCCCAUUUAAAAACCACUAUAUACAAACAGAAACAAUAAGGUUAUCUUAUAGAAUGAAUGUUUCUACUGAUUGCACCUUACAAACUGAUCUUUAGAAAUAAAUCACAUGUAGUCAUCCUGUGUUGGCACUAACAGAUAUUCCAGAUGCCUAUCCGAAUGCCUAAAAGUAAUUUCCUACUACAUUUUUCAGAUACGAUCCAUAAAUUUAAUACACUGAUUACCUUGGCACUACAUGUGUAAUCAAUUAAGUGGAAAAGUCUUUGGUUUUACUAUUCAAGUCCAAGAAAAUAAAAUUAUAGCAACUGAAUGUUUAAAAUAAAAACGCAAACUAAUGUUGAAAGUCAACUUUGGAGUGUAGCAUUGAAAAUAAGAAAACGUUGACAUAUUCCAAUUUAUUUUUUGUGAAAUUUAAAUAUUACAUUUUGUUGCCAAUGUACCAUUUCCUAUUGGUAUAAUUUGCCGUGGCUCUUUUAACUGCGAAUAAAUUCCACAGAACAAAUUCACUAUAAUGUGUCUAGUCUAAAUAUUUACAGCCUGUAAGAAAUUGGCAUGCGGUGGUAAUUACUCACUUAUGUUGCAAGCAAAUCUUUGUACUGCACAUAGGCUUCCAGCAGUUUUAGUUAAUAACAACUGAGUUAUAUUCAAUGGUUUUGGAGUGUUAGUGAGUAAUGCAUUAAUAUUUCUUCAUGAUUAAGUAGAUACAUCUUAAAUACUUAAAUCAUAUGAUAAUGUAGAACAGCCUAUUUUUAUAUAAUGUACGACUUUUUAUUAGUUUAUAAUCUUGGAGGUGGUGGAUAAAUGAGAAAAUUAUGCACAUCUGUAUACACAAUAGGGACAUAUUUAAUGUCUGCCACAACCUGAAAUAAAGGCAAAUAAGGUAAAAUCUACACGUUAUGCUGCGUAGAUUGACUGUGCUACAUUAAAACACCUGCAAAAAUUCAUAAUCGGCCAUAUCUUGAAAAAUGUUUCUCAUUUUGUUUAGUAUUUCUCUGAUACCCAAUAAUAAUCCCGUUCCUGUCUUAGUAGGAGUCAGCACUGUAAAAUGAAUAAUGUGGAUUUGAUGGAUUAAACCCCAAAUGUACAUAAUGGAGUAAUGUCUGUCAACAUAGGAAUGAAAAUUUUCAUGUAAUUAACUGCGUGCAGUGCUUCCAGGCUGUACACCACUCUUAAUAUUACCAGGUUUUAACCCUUUGAGACUAGGACAUAAUUACAUCAGAAAAAUAGAUAUUCAUGUAAGUCGUAUAUAGAUGCCUAUCGCAAACAUGCUGGGUAUAAAUGAGAUUUGAUAGGUGUGAAUAUUGUUACUUUAUUCUGAGUAUAAGGGAUUAAGAAUACUUAGAGGGGAUUCAGAGAAUAGAAGAAAAAAGUGUCCAAUGUGUUUUGUGCCUCAGUACUUCAGAUGAAAGGAACACUAUAGUCAGCUAAAUUACUUUAGCUAAAUGAAGCAGUUUUAGUGUAUAGAUCAUUCCCCUGCAAUUUCACUGCUCAAUUCACUGUCAUUUAGGAGUUAAAUCACUUUGUUUCUGUUUAUGCAGCCCUAGCCACACCUCCCCUGGCUAUGAUUGACAGAGCCUGCAUGAAAGAAAAACUGGUUUCACUUUCAAACAGAUGUAAUUUACCUUAAAUAAUUGUAUCUCAAUCUCUAAAUUGAACUUUAAUCACAUACAGGAGGCUCUUGCAGGGUCUAGCAAGUUAUUAACAUAGCAGGGGAUAAGUAAAUCUUAAUUAAACAGAACUUGCAAUAAAGAAAGCUUAAAUAGGGCUCUCUUUACAGGAAGUGUUUAUGGAAGUCACAUGCAGGGAGGUGUGACUAGGGUUCAUAAACAAAGGGAUUUAACUCCUAAAUGGCAGAGGAUUGAGCACUGAGACUGCAGGGGCAUGUUCUAUACACCAAAACUGCUUCAUUAAGCUAAAGUUGUUAAGGUGACUAUAGUGUCCCUUGAAUAGCAUUUAAGGGACACAUCACUUUGAGAGAGCCAUCUCAUUUAAAAGCUCUUAGCUUUAAAUUAGACAUUUACCUCACUCAGCAGGCAGAGUUAUUUUCUUCAUAUUUUCCUGCUUAGUCUUUCUUAUGCCUUCCACACCCACUCCAGGGGGGAAUACUUAACUAACCAAUUAGUGUUCUAUCCCUAAGAAUGCUGAAAAAGUGCAUUUGGCAUACCUGACAGAUUUACAUAUUUGAAGUUGGAUGAUUUCUUCACUUAGCAACAUCCGGACAGAAGGAGAAGAAAGGGAGUCUGAUCAGUGUGUCAUGCAAAAUAGGAUCCGUGUCAGGCUGCUGCACAAAGAUUCCCUAUUUAUGUCAUUAGUGUACUGAUCUGAAACGGAGAUGGGGGGAAAUCAUGAUGCACGGCCCCUUAAGGCAUAAGACAUUUGAUAUUUUUUAUUCUGUCCUGACACAGCUACUGUGAAUCUUCCAAGUCAGAAACAUUCAGAAUAAAGCAAUAUGAAUACUAAAAUAUCUCAUUUAUCCACGUGUAGGAUCCAGCACCUGUUUAUAUUAUUUUGUUUCUGCAAGAGGAGAACCGACAUUGAACCUCUUUUUGUAGAUCUGAAAGUAUGAAAAAACCAAAACAGACACACCUUUUCUUAAUAGUAACAGAAAACUGACAAUGUCAUUGCUACCACCUCAAAAAGCCAGAAAGGGCAUUAGAUGCAGUAUCUAAUUUUGUCAAUAUACCUUGUGCCUGGCGUUGUUGAAAUUUGUGCCAAAUUACAAAUAAGAGCACAUGGAACCAAGGUAACAUUUAGAUUGCUAAACUUGUAAUGCUUAUUACCUGUUUAGUUAAGGGAGGUAAACUUACCAUAUUUCCAUAUGCUUGAUAUUUCACCCCAGCAAACACACAAAUAUUGUUUAUUGGGGUUGAAUAAAAAUUUAACACACGCAGAACACAAAUUUUCCCUUCAAUCCCACAAGAACAAAAAAAUAGAGUUGCUAUUCUGUUGCACAUUACAAGACACCCAGUCUGACAGCUGUUUGCUUUACUAUACAAGAAGACCCAUGUGCUCUUGUUCAUCAACCCGAAAACCUUAUUAUGAACAAAUAAAAUUAAGACUGGGACUAUAAAGAUUAUUCUCUUACAUUGGCUUGCUUUUUGACUUUAUGUCAUCUUUUUAAAUCACACUAACCCACUCCUAUUGAUUAACAUCCACUGUGGGAGGUUCUCAUAAACUGGUUCAUGUCUAUGUGUGUUUGUUGCAGAGUAUGUGUGUAUGUAUAUAUAUAUAUAUAUAUAUAUUAACCACCAAUUUGCUCAAGCAUGUCUUUGGUGCGUGAGUUAAUAAUAAAAUAGUGGGGUGUAGCACACCCAUGUUUAUAUAAAUCCAGAUUCCUUAACAUUUAGCAGAUGUUUUUCUAUUUCACAUAUUGAAACAGCCACUAUCUCUUUUAAAAAUUAUAUGUAUAGCUAGCCACAUUUUGUACAUAUUUGUCAGCACCUUCAUGGACACAUCGCUGCAUUAUAUGCACAAUGCCAAAUCAAUUAUCUCCAUUUCUCAAUAAAACCUACAAUGGCAUGCUCUGUCGGUUCAAUUAGCACAUAAACAAACAGGAAAUGACAAGUAUUAGGUUGUUGCAUUAAUUUCCCACUUUUAAAAACUAAAAAUGACAUUUAAUUUGUACACGGUUUUGUAUGUGUAAUUUGUGUCAUACCUAAAAUUAAUGGAGCUUGCACGUUUCUCUAGAAUGAAAUAUUGGGGAAUUACAAAUGCAUUCAACUUUUCAUUUUAGCAUUCUGCAACAAAUAUAAAUGUGUUUGUGUGUUAUAGUAACAUACACAUACAAACAUGAAUGAACAUUUAAAUACUUUCCAGUAAGACACAAUAUAUUACUAGUGACCAACAGAUUUGGCGCUUAUGCCACCAACUUUGGAAGAAUGAAAGGCUAUGUGUGCCCACCAGGAUUCAAGCAUGUGUGGACAUUAUGCCACCCACAUAUAUCUGUAGCAGGGACAUUCACCCACUGGGCAAGCUAUCUGUAUGUAGAUAUAAGACAGUGCUGCAAUGUAACAGUGGAAUAAUAAAGAAUUAUCAGUACACUCCAUAUGUUAAAAAAAACAAAACAAAAAAAACAAAUACAA